AAUAUCAAUCAAGUUUGUGACGUAUCAUUUACACUUCAAACGAUCUUAUAGUUGAUUGGUAGAUUAGAUAUCAUCCUUCAAAAUGUGAAUUUCAUAAUCAGCAUCCAAAGUCAAGUGGAAUGUUUAUUAUUUACCCUACCGGAUGUGAUAAAAGUAUAUAAGCGUGAAAGUUUUUCUAAGGUCUCAAAAAUUAUUGACACUAAAAUAAUCACAGCAAAAUAAAAAGAAAAAGAAAGUUUAUACAUAUAUAUUUCGCGUAUCGAGUUUGACAAAAACCUUGUGAUGCAAUCUAGAAACGCAGUCUACUUACUGAUUUGCCUUAUAGUAUUACAAAUGCUAUCAGAAAUCUCUGCACGGCCACGAAUGAACUGUUGCAGAUACAGACGGUGUCCAGAGAGAAAAAUGUGCAUACAGAUUGGAUCCCGCUGCAGAUGUAAAAGUAAUCGAGUAAUUUCGGACUUUUUUAACGUGUUAAUCAACCAACCAAAGGAAGACAUUUUUUCACAUGAAUAUAGGAUGGAUAAUCCAUUCUGGUGAUGACUGGUAUAUAUAAUAAUGUAAUGUUUUUCCUUUUGUGAUCUAUUUUCACAGAACUGAUAAUGUAUAUAUUGAGUAUAUGCUCUACUUUUUCUGUUACCAUAUUGUUAAAUAAUACAUCUUAAUUAAGCACAUUGAUGUAGAAUGAUAUAAAUGUAUAUUGUAAAGUAUGAAUAUUUAAAUCUUUACUUACGAUUAUACUGUGCUUAUGAAGUCAAACUAAAUCAUUGUUGAACAUUUACAUUUCUUUACGGUGGCAUUAUCAUGUUUUUUACAUAAUCAAGGUUUUAACACAAGCGUUGUGUAAUAUUUAAGGUAGUAUGAAUUAUAUGUGCUUAACAAAUAUUUGUUGAUUUUUUUUUAAUUGUCGUCGUAAUUAUGUCAAAUUAUUUACUAUAUAAGGACUUUCGGAAGUAAACAUUAUGUUUUGCGACGUUAUCCUUAUUUUACAUGUAUUUACUAACGUUUUGUUUAUUUAUAACUGUUUGAUUUGGCAGGGAAAUACCUUAUCAUAUUGAUAAGUUCUUUAUUUAUUUUUUUAUUAUUAUUAUUUUGUUAUUUUACGUUAAACAUGUUCUGUACACUCAGGUAUAUAUUUAUUUUACAUUUGAAUUGUUACGAAUAUAUGUUUGACAAUAAAAGUGAUAAACAUGUC